CUGGUGGAAGAAUUAAAUUAGGGUUGCCUGAUUUUAUUAUGGCUCCGCUUUAUCCACAGACCAACAAAGAUGACAGUGACCAAUCAGGUCAGAAACAAAGGGCACUUUCAAACAUUAUUGAAAGAAGUUUCAGAAAGCGAAUAUUUUCCAGAAGGGGAGGAAAUAUGUGGAUAAAAAGUCUUCGAUGCUGUGCAUUCACAAUGGAAGAUCUACACAGCGUGUAUUGCCGUGACUGUGAAAUAGAAUUUCCUGCAGUAGGAUUUGCUUUUGGACAGAGGUUGUAAAGUCACCUUUCUGUCUGUCAGAGCAGAUGGACUCCUGCAGCUCCUUGAGGCAAUGCGAGGAAUGAUAAGGAAGGCAGAACCAGAGCCCGCAUUUGUGCACCGUUAAACUUUGCAUUGCCUCUCAGUCACUGUUGGAACUGGUUUAUCAGUUCUAAAGACUUUUUUCUCUUUAACAGGAUGAAGUAUUCCAUGGGAAAAGGUGGCUGUUUUUUUUCUUUUUUUUUUUUUCAUCCAUUUUGGCUCCAAAAUGAGGAAUGUAGGAGCAGAAAAUAUCUUCUGUUACAAACUGAAGUAACCCCUGUUUUUAUUCAACAUUCUCAGCAUUCGGCUUCUGGAAACACAGGUAUAACAAAGGAAAACACUGCAUUAAUUUUGUUUUUUAAUAAGGAUAGCAGAGACCUGGCCACUGCUUGUACUGCUAUGCCCAUGCUCAAGGAUUUGGGCUCAGCAGAGCAACUCAGAGUGACUAAAACAGAGUACACAAACCGCUUGCUGCAGAACUGGGAUUGCUGUGCCUGGAGGACGGCUCUAAUGCUUUCCAGGCUCAUGCACUCAGCGAGCUGCCGCUCUCCGCCGAGCAUCUUUCUAACCUGUUUUGAUCCUGGCAGCAUUGGCAAGGUUGCUCCUAAAACUCAGUAGUUUGAGCAGAAUAUUUCCUUCCAAUGUUUUCCCCCUUCUCACAGCUUUUAAGUGGGAAGGACGGACGUUUAUUCACAAAGCAGUGGAGUACCGUGGUGUUUCCCUGUUUCCUUUUUUUUUUUACCCUGUUUAGAUGUUUGUGGCACAGAUGUGAAUUAAAAUAAUAAUAAUAAUAAUAAUAAUAAUAAUAAUAAUAAUAAUAGUGGCAAAUGCUUCUAAUUCUGGUGGUGCUGUAUUUCCUGGAGGGACCUCUCCACGUUGCAGCCUCCUUGUGCUGUUUGUUACCAUGUCAAUCCCCAUUUUCC
ensembl:lncRNA